rnacentral:rRNA from 1 species
AGUGAACGCUGGCGGUAGGCCUAACACAUGCAAGUCGAACGGCAGCACAGUAAGAGCUUGCUCUUACGGGUGGCGAGUGGCGGACGGGUGAGGAAUACAUCGGAAUCUACUUUUUCGUGGGGGAUAACGUAGGGAAACUUACGCUAAUACCGCAUACGACCUACGGGUGAAAGCAGGGGAUCUUCGGGCCUUGCGCGAUUGAAUGAGCCGAUGUCGGAUUAGCUAGUUGGCGGGGUAAAGGCCCACCAAGGCGACGAUCCGUAGCUGGUCUGAGAGGAUGAUCAGCCACACUGGAACUGAGAAACGGUCCAGACUCCUGCGGGAGGCAGCAGUGGGGAAUAUUGGACAAUGGGCGCAAGCCUGAUCCAGCCAUACCGCGUGGGUGAAGAAGGCCUUCGGGUUGUAAAGCCCUUUUGUUGGGAAAGAAAAGCAGCAGGUUAAUACCCCGCUGUUCUGACGGUACCCAAAGAAUAAGCACCGGCUAACUUCGUG